rnacentral:rRNA from 1 species
GAGGGAAGGGGCUAGCGUUGUCCGGAAUUACUGGGCGUAAAGAGCGCGUAGGCGGCUUACCAAGUUGGGGGUGAAAUCCCGGAGCUCAACUCCGGAACUGCCUUCAAAACUGGUAGGCUCGAGUCCGGAAGAGGGGCGUGGAAUUCCCAGUGUAGAGGUGAAAUUCGUAGAUAUUGGGAAGAACACCGGUGGCGAAGGCGGCGCCCUGGUCCGGUACUGACGCUGAGGCGCGAAAGCGUGGGGAGCAAACAGG